rnacentral:rRNA from 1 species
UUAGUAGCGGCGAGUGAAGCGGCAAAAGCUCAAAUUUGAAAUCUGGCACUUUCAGUGUCCGAGUUGUAAUUUGAAGAAGGUAUCUUUGGGUCUGGCUCUUGUCUAUGUUUCUUGGAACAGAACGUCACAGAGGGUGAGAAUCCCGUGCGAUGAGAUGUCCCAGACCUAUGUAAAGUUCCUUCGAAGAGUCGAGUUGUUUGGGAAUGCAGCUCUAAGUGGGUGGUAAAUUCCAUCUAAAGCUAAAUAUUGGCGAGAGACCGAUAGCGAACAAGUACAGUGAUGGAAAGAUGAAAAGAACUUUGAAAAGAGAGUGAAAAAGUACGUGAAAUUGUUGAAAGGGAAGGGCUUGAGAUCAGACUUGGUAUUUUGUAUGUUACUCUCUCGGGGGUGGCCUCUACAGUUUACCGGGCCAGCAUCAGUUUGAGCGGUAGGAUAAGUGCAAAGAAAUGUGGCACUGCUUCGGUAGUGUGUUAUAGUCUUUGUCGAUACUGCCAGCUUAGACUGAGGACUGCGGCUUCGGCCUAGGAUGUUGGCAUAAUGAUCUUAAGUCGCCCGUCUUGAAACACGGACCAAGGAGUCUAACGUCUAUGCGAGUGUUUGGGUGUAAAACCCGUACGCGUAAUGAAAGUGAACGUAGGUAGGACCUCCUUUAGGAGUGCACUAUCGACCGAUCCUGAUGUCUUCGGAUGGAUUUGAGUAAGAGCAUAGCUGUUGGGACCCGAAAGAUGGUGAACUAUGCCUGAAUAGGGUGAAGCCAGAGGAAACUCUGGUGGAGGCUCGUAGCGG